rnacentral:rRNA from 1 species
AAUCUUCCACAAUGGACGAAAGUCUGAUGGAGCAAUGCCGCGUGAGCGAAGAAGGUCUUCGGAUCGUAGAGCUCUGUUGUGAGGGAAGAACAAGUACAGGAGGAACUGUGUGAACGUUGACGGUACCUGAAGAGAAAGCCACGGCUAACUACGUGCCAGCAGCCGCGGUAAUACGUAGGUGGCAAGCGUUGUCCGGAAUUAUUGGGCGUAAAGCGCGCGCAUGCUGCCUUUUCAGUCUGAUGUGAAAGCCCACGGGUUAACCGUGGAAGGUCAUUGGAAACUGGGAGGCUUGAGUACAGAAGAGGAAAGCGGAAUUCCACGUGUAGCGGUGAAAUGCGUAGAGAUGUGGAGGAACACCAGUGGCGAAGGCGGCUUUCUGGUCUGUAACUGACGCUGAGGCGCGAAAGCGUGGGGAGCAAACA